AUGCAAGUCGAACGAAACUUCUUUAUCACCGAGUGCUUGCACUCACCGAUAAAGAGUUGAGUGGCGAACGGGUGAGUAACACGUGGGCAACCUGCCCAAAAGAGGGGGAUAACACUUGGAAACAGGUGCUAAUACCGCAUAACCAUAGUUACCGCAUGGUAACUAUGUAAAAGGUGGCUAUGCUACCGCUUUUGGAUGGGCCCGCGGCGCAUUAGCUAGUUGGUGAGGUAAAGGCUUACCAAGGCAAUGAUGCGUAGCCGAACUGAGAGGUUGAUCGGCCACAUUGGGACUGAGACACGGCCCAAACUCCUACGGGAGGCAGCAGUAGGGAAUCUUCCACAAUGGGCGAAAGCCUGAUGGAGCAACGCCGCGUGGGUGAAGAAGGUCUUCGGAUCGUAAAACCCUGUUGUUAGAGAAGAAAGUGCGUGAGAGUAACUGUUCACGUUUCGACGGUAUCUAACCAGAAAGCCACGGCUAACUACGUGCCAGCAGCCGCGGUAAUACGUAGGUGGCAAGCGUUAUCCGGAUUUAUUGGGCGUAAAGGGAACGCAGGCGGUCUUUUAAGUCUGAUGUGAAAGCCUUCGGCUUAACCGGAGUAGUGCAUUGGAAACUGGGAGACUUGAGUGCAGAAGAGGAGAGUGGAACUCCAUGUGUAGCGGUGAAAUGCGUAGAUAUAUGGAAGAACACCAGUGGCGAAAGCGGCUCUCUGGUCUGUAACUGACGCUGAGGUUCGAAAGCGUGGGUAGCAAACAGGAUUAGAUACCCUGGUAGUCCACGCCGUAAACGAUGAAUGCUAAGUGUUGGAGGGUUUCCGCCCUUCAGUGCUGCAGCUAACGCAAUAAGCAUUCCGCCUGGGGAGUACGACCGCAAGGUUGAAACUCAAAGGAAUUGACGGGGGCCCGCACAAGCGGUGGAGCAUGUGGUUUAAUUCGAAGCAACGCGAAGAACCUUACCAGGUCUUGACAUCUUCUGACAAUCCUAGAGAUAGGACUUUCCCUUCGGGGACAGAAUGACAGGUGGUGCAUGGUUGUCGUCAGCUCGUGUCGUGAGAUGUUGGGUUAAGUCCCGCAACGAGCGCAACCCUUAUUGUUAGUUGCCAGCAUUAAGUUGGGCACUCUAGCAAGACUGCCGGUGACAAACCGGAGGAAGGUGGGGAUGACGUCAAAUCAUCAUGCCCCUUAUGACCUGGGCUACACACGUGCUACAAUGGACGGUACAACGAGUCGCGAGACCGCGAGGUUUAGCAAAUCUCUUAAAGCCGUUCUCAGUUCGGAUUGUAGGCUGCAACUCGCCUACAUGAAGUCGGAAUCGCUAGUAAUCGCGGAUCAGCAUGCCGCGGUGAAUACGUUCCCGGGCCUUGUACACACCGCCCGUCACACCAUGAGAGUUUGUAACACCCAAAGCCGGUGGGGUAACCUUUUGGAGCCAGCC
rnacentral:rRNA from 1 species